ACGCACGCUGGCGGCGUGCUUAACACCUGCCAGUCGAACGGAAAGGCCCCUUUGGGGGUACUCGAGUGGCGAACGGGUGAGUAACACGUGAGUAACCUGCCCUUGACUUCGGGAUAACUUCAGGAAACUGGGGCUAAUACCGGAUAGGAAUCCUUGCUGCAUGGUGGGGGUUGGAAAGCUUCGGCGGUUUUGGAUGGACUCGCGGCUUAUCAGCUUGUUGGUGGGGUAGUGGCUUACCAAGGCUUUGACGGGUAGCCGGCCUGAGAGGGCGACCGGCCACAUUGGGACUGAGAUACGGCCCAGACUCCUACGGGAGGCAGCAGUGGGGAAUAUUGCACAAUGGGCGGAAGCCUGAUGCAGCAACGCCGCGUGCGGGAGGACGGCCUUCGGGUUGUAAACCGCUUUCAGCAGGGGCGAAGCUUGUGGUGACGGUACCUGCAGAAGAAGCACCGGCUAACUACGUG
rnacentral:rRNA from 1 species